AAAGGCACUGCCUUGUGCUGGGUGAAUGAUGUGUCCUUUGCCACGCCAUGACUGUUGAGCCACAGAGGAGGGGCCCGUGAAGUCAGGUCAACAUUUAUUGAGCACCUACUGCAUGCCUGGCUUUGGGAAAGGCCAAGAGACCCCCGGAGGGGCUUGUGGGGCAGGAGCAGCCUGGUCAGGACCAGGGUUCCACUUCCCCCAGGGGCAGGCUGAGCUUGCAGGGCCAGAUGACACUCCCCUCGGUGCCUGCCAGCAGCACCCACUGUGGGGUAACCGGAGCCACCCCGACCCCCCUCAAGAGGCUGAGGUUGUGAGUUAUUCUCAGUGAUGACCUUUCCCCGAACUGCAGCCGCAGUCUGAAAAGGCCAAGGGGCAGGGUGAGGCAGAAGGUGAGCCUGGGCAGGCCUGGCAAGGAGCCGCAGGAGCAGCUGGAGGGUGGCAGAGAGGAGGCGCCAGGCCUGGGGCCUGGGGGCCCUUGCCGGGCAGCUUGCAGAGCAAACCUUGCCUGAGUGGCAGAGCUGCAGGCCCCUCUAGCGACAGGUGGUCACAUGGGCUCAUCUCUGCUAGAGCCACCGCUGGUGCUGAGCAGUGAGCAGGCGCUUUCCUUGCAGCUUGCCUGAUGCAGCGGGGGUGUGAGAAUCUGGCUGUCGAUUGCAGGGGAGACUUGGGGGGGCGGGGGCGCAGUGCAGGGUUGGUGUGGGUGUUCUGAAUGCAGUGGGCGUGGCUCUAACAUGCGACCGCGGCAGGCACAGCAAAGAGGGCAUUGUCCAAUCAAGGCUUUCCCCAUUGGGGCUGUUUCGAGGCCUUUAGACAGGAAGCUCUUGGCUUGGUGGCAGCACCACAGAUGAAACCUCCUUUGAACGCUCUGAAGGCCUUGGAGUAUGGAAGAGAAUGAAAGCCAAACCCCCUAAGGCAUCUAUUGUGUGUAAUGAGUUAACUUCUUUCUAGAAUGGGACUAGUUAUGUGCCAUCCUUGGAAGAAUUGAGAAGAGUCACUCAAAUCACUUUCUGCGUCCUGUGGCUCAGAUGAGGAACCGCGGUCGAGCGAGACUGUGCAGCUUCUAACAAAUGUUGCAUGCCUGAUAAAGGAGGGGAGGCACCUUCCACCUCCUUCCUGGGAUCUGGAGCCUGAGCAGAUGGUGGUCAGAGACGUGUGGGUGCUCCUGCUGGUCAGGGAGCCUCACCGAGCAGGGCUGUGUCCCAGUCUGGGUUUUCAUUGCCCGUAACCAGCCGGCAUGCAGAGAUGAGUUGGGGUGUGGCUUAGGGAGAGGCCUGGGUCUCCCAGGUAAGGCCUGGGAAUGACACCUGGGCACGAGAACGUGGGGCCUGGGCUGAGUGAGGCCUGAGAGGCCAGGGUGGGCACAGGGGAAGCCUCAUGGGCCUAGCCAGAUGUACCCACACACAGCAGCUGGAGGAGGGACCUGCCUGGGUCAGUAAGGUAUGUAUUGCUGAAUCGAGAAGGUGACAUCUGAGGAGCCAGGGAGACAGAGACAGGGGAGGUUUCUGGAGCUAAGGUCUGUCAGAUGAGAUAGAGGAGUGAGGACAGACAUAGGGAUAUUGCACUGGCUCUGAGGUAAGACCGGAAGAGUCCAGUCUGGCAGAGGUACGUAUACGUGGUGAGGCCCGGUCUGUUGGGGUCGGUCAUGGGCAGCCUUGUGUGUCGGGAUCAGGCAGAGCUGUGGUGGUAAGGGGUGAGAUCUCUCAGGGCUCAACCAGCGUCAGCACAUAUUGGGGAACUAAUUUUGGCUGGUGAGGUCUGAAGAGGAGCCAGGACAGGUAAAAGUACAGGUGAGGUCUGUGAAUUCUGGAGGAGACGCAGGUAUUUAGAGAUGGUUCUCUAAGUGAAGCCUGAGGAGCAGGAGUCACAUACGGGUACUUAAACCUGGAUCUGUGAGUUGAGGUUUGGUUCCAUGGCGUGUGACAGGUGUACACAUUGGGGUCUCUGACUGGUUCUGAGAAGUGAGUGCCAGGUAGUGGGUGGCUGAUCACUCAAUUGAGGUGAUUAGAACUCAGGAUUAGGCAAACGUGUCAGUGCCCUGGGCCAGUUCGGCCACCUGGUUCUCAGCAUCCUGACCCAGUGUGAUGGGCGGAGCUCUGGGUGUUGGCGAGUCCUCUUAGCAUCCAUAACCAGCCCAAGGUGUGGUCUGUGGCGUUGGGGUCUGGCUGGGGUGGAGUUUGAGGCGCCUGGGUGAGGGAGAGGUGGGAAUGCACCUAGAAUAAAAGAGGAGGCCUGGGGAGCCGGGGCAGGUGAACAGACUGAGCAGCUGUGUCAGUGAAGUGCGGCCUGAGAGGCUCCUGGUAGAUAAACGUCUAGACCCGUGUCUGCAGGGGCGAGAUGCCCGAGGCGCAAGUUGCUCAGACACUGUUUGGCACCAGUGGGCUCUCGCCAGGCUUCCCUCACACUGGGGUGAGCAGCUCGAAGUCUGUCAGGUUGAGGGAAGUGUCUGUUCAGCUGAGUUUUCUAUGCUGGAGUCUGCCGGGGAUGGUCUCUAGAGCGACGUCUGCCUGAGGCCUCAGAAGCUGGAAUGAGGUAAGGUGUGGAUAAGUAGGUUUCUUAGGGGAGGCCUGAGGAGCCGAGAUUAGGCACAUGUAGGUAGAACUGGGGUGGUCCAGGACGGACGCUGGAGCCAAAGGUUGGCAGAGGCACAGCUGAGUCUGACAAGUGAGGACUAGAAAUCCGUGACCGAGCCCAGGUCAGAACUCUGUCGUCAGCUGAUGUCUGAGCUGUUCUGGUGAUGCACAGGUGAAUGGGAAAGACUGAAAAGCUGGCGUCAGGCAAAGGGAUGAAGAACUGCACCCACCUGGAAGGUUCAUGAAUUCUGGGUCUGGCUCAGGUGUGUAGAGCAGGUCUGUCAGGUGAGGUUUGAGGAGUUGAGAUGAGAUACAGGUUUGUACUUUGGGGUCUCAAACAGGUAAGGUUUCUGAGCUACCAAAGUCAGGCCCUGGUCUGUGUUCCAAAUCUGAGGAGCUGGGGUCAAGCACAAGUGGGUAGAGCUGAGUUUUUCAGGUAAUGUCUAUGAAACCAAAGGCAAGCAGAGGUAGGUUGACUGGAAAAGCCAUGGUUAGGUUCAUUCAACUCUGUCUCACAGUUGAGCUCAGGGACAGGUAAGUAGAGCAGAUCUGUCAGGUGAGGCCUGAGGAGCCAGAGUUGGCCUCAUCUAGAAAGAACUGGAUCUCUUCGAUGACCCUGGAGAAUAUGAAGUGAAGACAGGUGGCUUGAGCUAGGUCUCUUAGGUGAGUCUGAGGAGCUGAGUUGGGGCGUAAGUGAGUGGAUGUGGAUCUCCCGGAACUGCAUCUCUACCCAUCUUGUGGAGGCAUCUUGUGAGGGUGAGGGCUCGUGGCCAGGCACAGCUUUGUGGAAUUGAGUUUCUCAGUAAGGUCUGUGGAUUCUGUCGCUGGCACAGUUCUUAUCCUUGGGUUUGUCAGCAUAAGUUAAGCACAGGUGGAUAGAGCAGGGUUUGUCAGGUAAGGUCUGUGGAGCCAGGAUCUGAGCAGAUUCACAACACUAGGGCGGUCCAGUGAGACCCAAAAAGUCACAGUCAAGCCCAGGUAAGAACUCGAUGUCUUAGAUGAGAUGCGAGUAGCCGAGAUGAGGUUUGGGUAGGCAGAGCUGGCCCACCAGGUCUAGUCUCAGGAGCUGGGAGCAAGCACAGGUAGGCAGAAGUGGCCCUCCAGUGUAGUCUCAUGAGCCAAGGUCAACACAGGUAGGUGAAACUGGUCCAUCAGGUGUGGUCUGAGGACCCAGGAUCAAGCACAGGUAGGCAGAGCUGGCCCUCCAGGUGUGGUGUAAGGAGCCAAGGUCAAGCACAGGUAGGUAGAAUUGGCCUGCCAGGUGUAGUCUGAGGACCCAGGAUCAAGCACAGGUAGGCAGAGCUGGCCCUCCAGGUAUGGUGUGAGGACCCAGGGUCAAGCCAUAAGUAGGAAGCGUUGACCCUCCACGUGAAGUCUGAGGAGCCAGGGUCAAGCACAGGUAGGCAGAGCUGACCACCCAGUGUGGUCUGAGGAGCCAAGGUCAAGCACAGGUAGGCAGAGCUGACCUACUAGGUACAGUUUAAGGACCCAGCAUCAUGUACAGGUAGGUGGAGCUGGCCCACCAGCUGCAGUGUAAGGAGCCAAGAUCAAGCACAGGUAGGCAGAGCUGGUCCCCCACAUGUGGUCUGAGGUCCCAGGAUCAAGCACAGGUAGGCAGAGCUUUUCCUCCAGGUAUGGUCUGAGGACCCAGGGUCAAGUCAUAGGUAGGAAGAGUUGGCCCGCCAGGUGAAGCCUGAAGAGCCAGGGUCAAGCACAGGUAGGCAGAGCUGACCCACUAGGUACAGUUUAAGGAGUGGGGGUCAUGUACAGGUAGGCAGAGCUGGCCCGCCAGGCAUGGUUUGAGGAGCCAGGGUCAUGUACAGGUAGGCAGAGCUGGCCCGCCAGGCAUGGUUUGAGGAGCCAGGGUCACGUACGGGUAGGCAGAGGUGGUCCCCCAGGUGUGCUCUGAGGAGCCAGUGUCAGAGGCAAGUAGGCAAAGCCUGUCUGCCAAAUGUAGUGUCUUGAGGAGCUCUGAGUUAGGGUUGAACACAGGUGGGUAGAGUUGGCUCUUUCAGGUGUUGAAUUCAGAUAAAAUAGGUACCCCUGGGUCUUUGUGGUGAGGCCUGAAGAACCAGGGUUAAGCCUGGGUGGAUAGAGCAGCCUCGCAGGUCAGGCCUGCAGCUCUGGGGCCUUCUGCAGGCAGGCAGAACAUGGUGGGGCUCGUAGGAGGUCUCUGGGCCCUAAGUUAGACAUGAGUAGAUAGAUGUGGCUCUCUCAAGCAAGGACUUUGGAGCCAGACGUGUACACCUUGGUCUUGUAGGUAAAGUCCUUGGAGCAUGUUUCUGGCUCAGGUGUGUGGACCCCAAGUCUUAGAGGUUAGGCCUGGGGAGCGUGGGUUAGUCACAGGUAAGUAGAACCGCCACUCAGGUAGGGUCUGCGGAGCACAGGUAUGCAGGUAUGUUUGGGUCCAGUGAGGUCUGAGGCUUCUCAGUGAGGUGCUAGUGCCCAGGUUAAUCAGGGGUUGCUAGUGUUGGAAGUGUCUCGGAGACGUGAAGAGCUGAGUCUGACAUACAAUAGAGACCUGGGUCUCUCGAGUUAGGCCCGUUAGGGAGCCGAGGUCAAGCCCACGUAGAUACAGCUGGAUCUCUCAGGAAGGUGUGAGGAGUCUGAGCUGGGCUCAGGGAGGUGGACCUGGGUCUGUUGAUUGAGAUGUGAGGGGUGAGGCCCAGACAGGUACCUGAAGCCUGGUCCAUCAGCUGAGCUGUCUGGAGCCUGUCUCUGAUGGGUGUCUAACACUGCAGUAUGAGGUACCAGAGUCAGACAGAGGUAGGCAGAGCUAACCUUGGAGAUAGCCGUCGCAUCCAUGUCUGGCACUACUGUGUUGACCUGGCUUUGUCAGUGACUUCAUGGAGCCAGGGUCACAUGGGCAGAGGUAUGUAAACAUGAUCUUAGGUGGGUUCUUGCCCCCUGGGUUCAGGUACAAAUUGGCAUCCCUGGGCUUAUUAGGUGAAAUGGGUGGGGCAAGAUCUAGCCUGGAAACGCAUAUUUGAUGUGGCUGAUGAGGCCUGGGAAGGUGAGUCAGACACAGGUGGGACCUUCGGUGGUAGGAUCAGGCACGGUUAGAUGGGUAGCUUCAGCGUUCAUCAAGGGAAAGCCGGACUCAUUGUUGGUAUGUCUGCCUGGCGAGGUCUGGAGAGCCCUUAAGAUCGGGUACAACUGGUAGAAGGCCGUGAGCGAGGUCAGCCACCUGUUCUCAGCACCCUAGUAAGAUGCGAGGGGCAGGGCUCAGGGUGUUGCAGAGACCUGAGGAUCUAUAGUCAGUCCAAGGUGUGGUCUCUAGCAUUGGGGUCUGAUUGGCAUAGGGUCUGAGUUACCCAGGUGAAGCAAAAGAUAGCAUUAUACGUAGUUACCUAAAGUGAGGUCCUGGGCACUGGGGCAGGUGAAGUGCAGAACGUCGAACUGACUGAAGGACUGCGUCUAGAAGCUGUGAUCUGAGAGGCCCACUGCAGGUAAAGGUGAGGUCUGCAGAUCUGUGUCUGCAGGUUGAGGUCUCAGAGAGUCAAAUCAAACACUGGCAUUGCUGGGCUCUCCCAAAUGGGAGGUCUGAGGACCUGACCCCAGCCAAGGUCAGCAGCCUAGAAUCUGUCGGUCUGAGGGCUGACUGCUCAGUCUAGUUUCUAGAAUUGAAUGUGUUAGGUGAGAUCUGAGAGCCUAUGUAAGGCGUGGUGUGGCCUGUGGGACUGUGUUUGUCAGGUAAGGUUCCCCCAAACAUGGACCCUUUCCAGGUGAAGGGCCCCACCGUUCGUCUCAUUAGCCGAGCUGGAAACCUCUGGGCCACCCUUGGUUCUCUCAUUUUUCCAAUUCAUUCUGUUAGUUGAACCCUCUGAAUCAGUCCUUUGCACUCCCUUGUCCAGCGUGGCGUCAUUCUCUGGACGACCACUGGGGGCCCCUGCGUGGUUUUCUGCUUCCAUUAUCACUGCACCCACAGACUUCUUGGUUCUCCAGUUGGCCUCUCACCGUCUUCCCUUUAGUCCUCACUCCUUCCUUCCUCUUCUAGAUUGUGCUGUGCCUCCUCCUGCCCAGCUUGUUUCAAUGGGCUUCCAGUAGAGAAUUAAGUCCUAAUGUCCCAAGGCAUCCAUUGGAUGUAAUGAAUUAGCAUUUCUUCUUUGUGUCUAGAAGGGUACUUACUGGCCUUGGACCAAACUGGGAGAAUUGAGAAGUUAAGUCACUCAAAACAUUUUCUGUGGGGCUUAAUUCUCUCGCUAUUGAGAAAGGUGGUCCUUCCACAGGACCUUUGCGUAUGCUGUUGUGGCUGCUGGAAUGCUUCUCUCUCAGUGUUUCCCUGGGUAAUGCCUGCUCAGUCUUCAGAUCCAGGCUCAAGCACCCUUCAGAUUGUUUUAAUAAUUGGUUUCAGUAUUGUAUUUCCUUUCUCUCAAGCAUUUGUAUCUCAUUUUCAUAGCUAUUUGCAUAAUUGUUUCAUUUACAUCUUUCUCCCCGUGGACUGUUUCCAUUGCCUGUGCUAGGAACAUGGUAGGUGCUCCAUAAAUAGUGGUUAGGAAGAUGUGAAUGGAGUUCUGAGGAUUCUGAUGAUACGAAGUGGAAUCGGCAAGUGUGGCAUGAGAAGGCACAGUGUGAAGGUAGGCUUAGGUAUGUCUUGGGGCUGAGGCUGAGAAGACUGGAUAAGCCCAGGUGUGAGCCACUGGGCAUGUCAGUGUCCCAGGAGGCAGGGCUAGGUACAGGUAUGAGUCACUGGGUCUGUUAGUACAGCCUGAGGAGUCGAGAAUACACACUGGGUAUGUCAGUAUCAGAAGGGACAAGGCCAGGCCAAGGUUUGAAGUACUGGGUCUGUGGGGGUCUGAGGAGGUGGGGCCAAGGGCAGGUAGGAGGUUCUGGGUGCCUAGUUGUUCAAGGAGGCAUGCUUAGGCACAGGUGUGAGGCACUGGGCCUGUUAGUCUGAGGAGGCAGGACCUGGCACAGGUAUGAGGAGCUGGGAUGUCACUGUCCAAGGAGACAGGGCCAGGCACGGGUAUGAGAAUCUUAUCUGUCAGUGUCCAAGAAGGUGGGCCUGGCACAGGUGUGGGAAGCUGGGUCUGUCGGUGUCUGAGGAGGUGGGCCGGGCACAGGUAUGAGGUGCUGGGUCUGUCAGUGUCUAGGAGGUGGGCAUGGCACAGGUAUGAGGCGCUGCAUCUGUUGGUGUCUGAGAAGGUGGGCUGGCACAGGUAUGAGGCGCUGGGUCUGUCGGUAUCUGAGGAGGUGGGCCUGGCACAGGUAUGAGGCGCUGGGUCUCUUGGUGUCUGAGGAGGUGGUCCUGGCACAGGUAUGAGGCGCUGGGUCUGUCGGUUCUGAGGAGGUGGUCCUGGCACAGGUAUGAGGCGCUGGGUCUGUUAGUGUCUAAAGAGGUGGUCCUGGCACAGGUAUGAGGCGCUGGGUCUGUCGGUAUCUGAGGAGGUGGGCCUGGCACAGGUAUGAGGCGCUGGGUCUCUUGGUGUCUGAGGAGGUGGUCCUGGCACAGGUGUGAGCUACAGGGUCUGUCGGUGUCUGAAGAGGUGGUCCUGGCACAGGUAUGAGGUGCUGGGUCUGUCGGUGUCUGAGGAGGUGGUCCUGGCACAGGUAUGAGGCGCUGGGUCUGUCGGUGUCUGAGGAGGUGGUCCUGGCACAGGUAUGAGGCGCUGGGUCUGUCAGUGUCUAAAGAGGUGGUCCUGGCACAGGUAUGAGGCGCUGAGUCUGUCGGUGUCUGAGGAGGUGGGCCUGCCACAGCCAUGAGGUGCUGAUUGUUCAGUGUUUGAAGAGGCUUGUAUGUGGCAAUGGGUCUGUCAGUGUCUAAAGAGGUGGCCCUGGCACAGGUAUGAGGCGCUGGGUCUGUCGGUUUCUGAGGAGGUGGGCCUGGCACAGGUAUGAGGUACUGGGUAUGUCUGUGUUGGAAGAGGUGGGCCUGGCACAGGUAUGAGGUGCUGGGUCUGUUGGUGUCUGAGGAGGGGGUCCUGGCACAGGUAUGAGGUGCUGGGUCUGUCGGUGUCUGAGGAGGUGGCCCUGGCACAGGUAUGAGGCGCUGGGUCCUGGUGUCUGAGGAGGUGGUCCUGGCACAGGUAUGAGGCACUGGGUCUGUCGGUGUCUGAGGAGGUGGUCCUGGCACAGGUAUGAGGCUCUGGGUCUGUCGGUGUCUGAGGAGGUGGGCCUGGCACAGGUAUGAGGCACUUGGUCUCGUGGUGUCUGAGGAGGUGGGCCUGGCACAGGUAUGAGGGGCUGUGUCCGUCAGUGUCUGCGGGGUUGGGCCUACCACAGGCAUGAGGUUCUGGAUUGUUCAGUGUUUGCAGAGGCUUGUAUGCGACAAUGGGUCUGUCAGUGUCUAAACAGGUGGCCCUGGCACAGGUAUGAGGCACUGGGUCUGUCGGUGUCUGAGGAGGUGGUCCUGGCACAGGUAUGAGGCUCUGGGUCUGUCGGUGUCUGAGGAGGUGGGCCUGGCACAGGUAUGAGGCACUUGGUCUCGUGGUGUCUGAGGAGGUGGGCCUGGCACAGGUAUGAGGGGCUGUGUCCGUCAGUGUCUGCGGGGUUGGGCCUACCACAGGCAUGAGGUUCUGGAUUGUUCAGUGUUUGCAGAGGCUUGUAUGCGACAAUGGGUCUGUCAGUGUCUAAACAGGUGGCCCUGGCACAGGUAUGAGGCACUGGGCCUGUAGGUGUCUGAGAAAGUGGGCUGGCACAGGAAUGAGGUGCAGGGUCUGUCAGUGUCUGAAGAGGUUGGGCUGACACAGGUAUGAGGCGCUGGGUCAGUCAGUGUCUGCGGCGGUGGGCCUGGCACAGGUAUGAGGCGCUGUGUCUGUCAGUGUCAGAGGAGGUGGGCCCGGCACAGGUAUGAGGCGCUGGGUCUCAUGGUGUCUGAGAAGGUGGGCUGGCACAGGUAUGAGGUGCAGGGUCUGUCAGUGUCUGAAGAGGCUGGGCUGGCACAGGUAUGAGGCGCUGGGUCUAUCUGUGUCUGAAGAGGUGGGCCUGGCACAGGUAUGAGGCACUGUGUCUGUCAGUGUCUGCGGGGUUGGGCCUGCCACAGGCAUGAGGUUCUGGAUUGUUCAGUGUUUGCAGAGGCUUGUAUGCGACAAUGGGUCUGUCAGUGUCUAAAGAGGUGGCCCUGGCACAGGUAUGAGGCGCUGGGUCUGUCGGUGUCUGAGGAGGUGGUCCUGGCACAGGUAUGAGGCUCUGGGUCUGUCGGUGUCUGAGGAGGUGGUCCUGGCACAGGUAUGAGGCACUGGGUCUGUCGGUGACUGAGGAGGUGGUCCUGGCACAGGUAUGAGGCGCUGGGUCUGUCGGUGUCUGAGGAGGUGGUCCUGGCACAGGUAUGAGGUGCAGGCUCUGUCAGUGUCUGAAGAGGUGGCCCUGGCACAGGUAUGAGGCACUGGGUGUCUUGGUGUCUGAGGAGGUGGGCCUGACACAAGUAUGAGGCACUAGGUCUCGUGGUGUCUGAGGAGGUCGUCCUGGCACAGGUAUGAGGCACUGGGUCUGUCGGUGUCUGAGAAGGUGGGCUGGCACAGGUAUGAGGUGCAGGCUCUGUCAGUGUCUGAAGAGGUGGGCCUGGCACAGGUAUGAGGGGCUGUGUCUAUCAGUGUCUGCGGGGUUGGGCCUGCCACAGGCAUGAGGUUCUGGAUUGUUCAGUGUUUGCAGAGGCUUGUAUGCGACAAUGGGUCUGUCAGUGUCUAAAUAGGUGGCCCUGGCACAGGUAUGAGGUGCUCGGUCUAUCUGUGUCUGAAGAGGUGGGCCUGGCACAGGUAUGAGGCACUGGGUCUCUUGGUGUCUCUGGAGUUGGGCCUGGCACAGGUAUGAGGCACUGGGUCUCGUGGUGUCUGAGGAGGUGGUCCUGGCACAGGUA